ACGAACGCUGGCGGCGUGCCUAAUACAUGCAAGUUGAGCGCUGAAGGUUGGUACUUGUACCAACUGGAUGAGCAGCGAACGGGUGAGUAACGCGUGGGGAAUCUGCCUUUGAGCGGGGGACAACAUUUGGAAACGAAUGCUAAUACCGCAUAAAAACUUUAAACACAAGUUUUAAGUUUGAAAGAUGCAAUUGCAUCACUCAAAGAUGAUCCCGCGUUGUAUUAGCUAGUUGGUGAGGUAAAGGCUCACCAAGGCGAUGAUACAUAGCCGACCUGAGAGGGUGAUCGGCCACAGUGGGACUGAGACACGGCCCAAACUCCUACGGGAGGCAGCAGUAGGGAAUCUUCGGCAAGAGACGAAAGUCUGACCGAGCAACGCCGCGUGAGUGAAGAAGGUUUUCGGAUCGUAAAACUCUGUUGGUAGAGAAGAACGUUGGUGAGAGUGGAAAGCUCAUCAAGUGACGGUAACUACCCAGAAAGGGACGGCUAACUACGUG
rnacentral:rRNA from 1 species